rnacentral:rRNA from 1 species
UACAGAGGUCUCAAGCGUUGUUCGGAUUUAUUGGGCGUAAAGGGCGCGUAGGCGGAUAGGUAAGUCAGGUGUGAAAUCCUGGGGCUCAACCCCAGAACAGCACUUGAAACUACGGUAUCUAGAGGGUAGGCGGAGAAAACGGAAUUCCACAAGUAGCGGUGAAAUGCGUAGAUAUGUGGAAGAACACCGGUGGCGAAGGCGGUUUUCUAGCUUAUUCCUGACGCUGAGGCGCGAAAGCAAGGGGAUCAAACAGG